GACGAACGCUGGCGGCGUGCUUAACACAUGCAAGUCGAGCGGUAAGGCCCUUUCGGGGGUACACGAGCGGCGAACGGGUGAGUAACACGUGGGUGACCUGCCCUCAGCUCUGGGAUAAGCCUGGGAAACCGGGUCUAAUACUGGAUAUGACUCCAUGACGCAUGUUGUGGGGUGGAAAGCCUUGUGCGGCUGAGGAUGGGCCCGCGGCCUAUCAGCUUGUCGGUGGGGUGANGGCCUACCAAGGCGACGACGGGUAGCCGGCCUGAGAGGGCGACCGGCCACACUGGGACUGAGACACGGCCCAGACUCCUACGGGAGGCAGCAGUGGGGAAUCUUGCGCAAUGGGCGAAAGCCUGACGCAGCGACGCCGCGUGAGGGAUGACGGCCU
rnacentral:rRNA from 1 species